UUAGUGGCGGACGGGUGAGUAACGCGUGGAUAACCUGCCGUAUACCGGGGGAUAACACUUAGAAAUAGGUGCUAAUACCGCAUAAGCGCACGGCUCCGCAUGGGGCAGUGUGAAAAACUCCGGUGGUAUACGAUGGAUCCGCGUCUGAUUAGCUAGUUGACGGGGUAACGGCCCACCAAGGCAGCGAUCAGUAGCCGGCCUGAGAGGGUGGACGGCCACAUUGGGACUGAGACACGGCCCAAACUCCUACGGGAGGCAGCAG
rnacentral:rRNA from 1 species